UGAUCAUGGUGUAUAAUCUUUUUGAUGUAUUGCUGUAUUCGGUUUGCCAGAAUUUUGUUGAGGAUUUUUGCAUCUAUGUUCAUCAGUGAUAUUGGCCUGUAGUUCUCCUUCUUUGUGUUUGAUGUUGGCUUCAUAGAAUGUGUUAGGGAGUACUCCAUCUUCCUCAAUUUUCUGGAAUAGUUUGAGAAGGACAGGUAUUAAAUCUUCUUGGAAUGUUUGGUAGAAUUCUGCAGAGAAGCCGUCUGGUCCUGGACUCUUAUUUUUGGGGAGGUUUUUGAUUACUGUUUCUAUUUCUUUACUUGUGAUUGGCCUAUUCAGAUUCUUCAUUUCUUCCUGGUUGUUCAAUUUGUUGGCAUAUAGUUUUUCAUAGUAUUCUCUUAUGAUCCCUUGUAUUUCUUUGGUGUCUGUUGUGAUUUCUCCUCUCUCAUUCUUAAUUUUAUUUAUUUGAGAUUUCUCUCUUCUUUUCUUGGUGAGUCUGGCUAAGGGUUUGUCGAUUUUGUUAAUUUUUUUGAAGAACCAACUCUUUGUUUCAUUGAUCCUUUGUACUGUCUUUUUUGUUUCAAUAUCGUUUAUUUCUGCUCUUAUUUUC
rnacentral:lncRNA from 1 species